rfam:Nicotiana attenuata strain TT chromosome 2, whole genome shotgun sequence.
AUACCUUUCUCGGCCUUUUGGCUAAGAUCAAGUGUAGUAUCUGUUCUUAUCAGUUUAAUAUCUGAUAUGUGAGCCAUCGGCUCACACGAUAUUAACUCAAUUUUUUAAGGGGAAAGGUCCAUCAAGGUAGCUUGCUAUCUGGACCUUUGCGCGUCGCCCUGGUCUUGCACUAUUGCUUGGGCCUGGCGCACCCCAC